ensembl:snoRNA LOC120093445 small nucleolar RNA SNORA17
CCUGCCCCUAGAGGAGUGGUUACUGUGUCACAUGGGCAUCCGUAGGUGGCAGAGAGGAGAGAGGCUAUGUCUGUGCUCAGUGUUCUGACCUAUGAACAGCUGAAUGAUUAGUAGCCUAACCUU